AUUGAACGCUGGCGGCAGGCUUAACACAUGCAAGUCGAGCGGGGGGAGGUAGCUUGCUACCGGACCUAGCGGCGGACGGGUGAGUAAUGCUUAGGAAUCUGCCUAUUAGUGGGGGAUAACAUCUCGAAAGGGAUGCUAAUACCGCAUACGUCCUACGGGAGAAAGCAGGGGAUCACUUGUGACCUUGCGCUAAUAGAUGAGCCUAAGUCGGAUUAGCUAGUUGGUGGGGUAAAGGCCUACCAAGGCGACGAUCUGUAGCGGGUCUGAGAGGAUGAUCCGCCACACUGGGACUGAGACACGGCCCAGACUCCUACGGGAGGCAGCAGUGGGGAAUAUUGGACGAUGGGGGGAACCCUGAUCCAGCCAUGCCGCGUGUGUGAAGAAGGCCUUAUGGUUGUAAAGCACUUUAAGCGAGGAGGAGGCUCUUUUGGUUAAUACCCAAGAUGAGUGGACGUUACUCGCAGAAUAAGCACCGGCUAACUCUGUGCCAGCAGCCGCCGUAA
rnacentral:rRNA from 1 species